CAGUAGCCGCGGGAAAACGGAGGGGGCUAGCGUUGUUCGGAAUUACUGGGCGUAAAGCGCACGUAGGCGGCUUGGUAAGUUAGAGGUGAAAGCCCGGAGCUCAACUCCGGAAUUGCCUUUAAGACUGCCGAGCUAGUAGGUGAGAGAGGUAAGUGGAAUUCCGAGUGUAGAGGUGAAAUUCGUAGAUAUUCGGAAGAACACCAGUGGCGAAGGCGGCUUACUGGCUCAUUCUAGACGCUGAGGUGCGAAAGCGUAGGGAGCAAACAGGAUUAGAUACCCCAGUAGUCCCUGUCUCUUAUAC
rnacentral:rRNA from 1 species